rnacentral:rRNA from 1 species
AUGGCUUUCAACAAAUUAGCACCCGCGGUAGGGUUCACCGUAGCACUGGCGGCGCUCCGCCUCGCCAGUGUUGGAGCUUCGGCGCCACCAGGCAACUGCACGAGGGAAUGCGGCGGACUGGAGAUCCCUUACCCGUUUGGCAUCGACGUCGAGGAUGGCUGCCAACUUUCUGACCGCCGGCAAGGGUUCAAGCUCCGCUGCCUAGACAGGGGCGGCCGUGGCAAGAGGCUGUAUUACAUCAACCAGGAGGUGCUGGAGAUCUCGCUGGAGCACGGCCAGGUCCGGUGGCUGAACAACAUCUCCUCCUACUGCUACAACGCCACCGCCGGGGAAAUGGAGGUCAACAGCCCGCCGUCGAACAUGGACCUGGAGGGCUCCAUCUUCCGGCUCUCCGGCACCGCCAACAAGUUCACCGUGCUCGGCUGCAAGACGCUCGCCUACAUCGGCGACACGGAUAACAUCACGUCGUACACGGCCGUGUGCGGGGCCACGUGCAAGGACGGCAACCUCUCGCUGCUGACCAACGGCUCCUGCGAGGGGAUCGGCUGCUGCCGGACGGCGAUCCCCAGGGGGCUGGAGAACUACCGGGUGUGGUUCAAGAGCUUCAGCACCCGCCGCUGUAGCUACGCGGCGCUGGUUGAGGCGUCCAACUUCACCUUCUCGUCCACCUACCUUUCCUCGUCGGCGUUCGUCGACGCCUACGGCGGGCAGGCGCCGCUGGUGGUGGACUGGGCCAUUGGAACGCUGCAAGGGGAGACGUGCGAGUCGGCACGCGCCAAGCCGGAGUCCUAUCCGUGCGUCAGCAACGACAGCUUGUGCGUCGACUCGCCUAUUGGACGAGGCUACUUCUGCAAAUGCAAGAAAGGAUACCAAGGAAAUCCUUACCUUCCAUACGGAUGCAAAGAUGUCGAUGAGUGCCUUGACCCAAAAAAUUGUGAAGGGACGUGCCACAAUAUCAUUGGAGACUUCAUCUGUUGUCCUCCGAGAACAAAUAUGAUCCCAAAAAAAUGCAGUGCACCUCUACCAAAAAGAAAACUCUCGUCAUGGGUGUUACCAUUGGGCUGGGUGCGGGCUUUGGAAUGCUACUUCUUGGCUUGAGUGGAAUGUCCAUCUCCUACCGAUGGAAAAGAUGUGUCAAAAAACAACAACGCGGGCUUUAUUUCCAGAAAAACCAAGGCCUUCUAUUGGAACAACUCAUAUUAUCAGAUGAAAAUGCAAGUGAUAGAACAAUGAUUUUCUCCUUAGAGGAGUUGGAGAAGGCAACAAACAACUUUGAUGAAACUCGUAUUGUAGGCCGUGGAGGACAUGGCAUGGUAUACAAAGGCAUCUUAUCGGACCAACGUGUGGUGGCUAUAGAAAAGUCAAAACUUGUUGAGGAAUCUGAGAUCAAUCAGUUUAUUAAUGAGGUUGUAAUCCUCUCCCAGAUAAAUCAUCGAAAUAUCGUGAAGCUCUUUGGAUGUUGUCUUGAAACAGAAGUGCCGCUCUUAGUAUCUGAUUUUAUCCCUAAUGGCUCUCUAUUUGAUGUUUUGCAUGCUGAGCCAACUAGUAGACUAUGUUUAUCCUGGGAUGAUUGUUUGAGGGUUGCUCAAGAAACUGCUGGAGCUCUCUGUUAUCUACAUACAUCUGCCUUGAUAUCGGUCUUUCAUCGUGAUGUGAAGUCCUCGAAUAUCUUGUUAGAUGGAAAUUUCACUGCUAAAGUUUCAGAUUUUGGUGCUUCAAGAACAGUUCCUAUUAACCAAACUCAUGUUACCACAAAUGUACAAGGAACGUUCGGAUACUUGGAUCCAGAAUAUUAUCAAACUGGGCAACUAAAUGAGAAAAGCAAUGUGUAUAGUUUUGGUGUGGUACUCAUAGAGUUACUUUCAAGAAAAGAGCCUGUUUUUAGAAGUAAUUCAGGUUCAAAGCAAAACUUGUCCAUCUACUUCAUUACAGAGAUUAAAACAAAGUCGGUAAGAGAGGUGGUAGCCACUCAAGUUCUUGAAGAAGCAAGCGAAGAUGAAAUUUGCAUCGUUGCCUCUCUUGCGGAGACAUGUUUGCGUCUCAAGGGAGAAGAAAGGCCUACUAUGAAGCAAGUGGAGAGUACAUUACAAUAUGCGAACAAAAAGGUUGGCCUCAUCUCAUGUUGUUGA